UGUCUCUUACGGACUAGCCAAUGAAAUUGAUCCUUCAGUACAAAAGCUGGAAUUAGCCCAUAAGACGAGAAGACCCUGUGGAGCUUCAAAACCAAAAUCACCAAACAUGCUUCAUGGGUUUUUAGUUGGGGCGACUUUGGAGCAAAAAAAACCCUCCAAACAUAAAUCUAUUUAUUAAGACUAACACACCAAAAAAAUAUUAUAGACCCAGCAGUAUCUAUUUACUGUCUGACCAAUGAACCAAGUUACCCCAGGGAUAACAGCGCCAUCCUCUUCUAGAGUCCUUAUCGACAAGAGGGUUUACRACCUC
rnacentral:rRNA from 1 species